rnacentral:rRNA from 1 species
AUGGCCAACCGCUGGAACUUGGUAGGGAAGAGGGUGCGGGUGCCCGAGAUCACAUCGUCGAGAUGCAUCCCGGAGAGCACCGUCACUGGGACUCUCAGCUUCGAGGUGGCAGCUGCUCAUUACCCCAAUCUCUUAGCCAUGGGCGUGGACGAGUGCGCUAGAUCGGACGUCUACAGCUUCGGCGGCUACGAUUGGGGCAUCGAGUUGUACCCAUACAGGUGGUGGCCGGGCGACAACCAGGCAAGCAAUGCCAUGGCCUACUUGUGGUUUCUCGGCCCAGCCGGGCCAGUGCAUACCAAGUACACGCUGAGCGUGUUGGGUAACGAGAUAGAGGAACCGGUGGCCAGCUUCGGCGUGUUGGAGGGACUCUUUUCUCCGGUGGAACCCAAUAACUGCUGGGGCACAUUGCUGAAACCGCUGUCCGAGCUCGGGGACGGCGGCUUCACGUUACAGUACGUCCUCACCGUCAUCAACGUCGAGCCCCGGCCGAUGGAGCUGCCCGGCCACCUCGAGCGCAUGCUGGUGAAGGGAAGACGCGCGGACGUCCGGUUUCGGGUGCGCGGCCGAAACUUCCGCGCGCACAGCUCUAUCCUGGCCGAGCGGUCGCCCGUCUUUGAAGCGCAGCUCUUUGGCCCCAUGGCGGAGAAGGACAUGCGGCGGAUCAAGGUUGUCGGCAUGAGGCCAGCCAUCUUCAAGAUGAUGCUUCGCUAUAUCUAUACGGACAUACUGCCGUCAUGCAACGACCAAGGCGGCCGCAGCGCUGCGGUGAUGCAGCGUUUGCUUGUCGCGGCGGACAGGUACGGGCUGGACAGGCUGAAGCUCAUGUGCGAGGAAGAGCUGUGCCGGAGGAUCGACGCAGAGACCAUCAUGUCCAUGCACGCGCUGGCACAUCGGUACCAUUGUGAUCGGCUCAAGCAUGCAUGCCUCCAGUUUCUUACGUGGUCGCCGGAAGUCCUCGCCGACGUCUUUGAGAGUAGUGGGUUUAACGAGCUCUGCAUGACAAAUUACCGACCAUUGCCUCUGGAGGGAGAAGUCUCGCGGGCAAAACGUAGCCAUGCAGAGGAAGAAACUGAUCCAGGCCAGAAAUGA